AACGUUAUUCUAGCUGCGCCGUGUGUUUGCCUGUACGGUCCUAUACUGAAUGUUGAAUGGCCAGUUGAUUGCGCGCCGAGUUAGGUUCCAGUCUUCUCGUUUCAUGUUCCGGUUUCUCGUUUCAAUGUCCGGUUCACCAUUCUACGUACCUAUGUUUCGGUUUCUCGUUAUGUUCGUUGUAAUUCUGUCUUCUAAAAUAAGUUCGUCUUGCAGUCUGUGGUCCAUGAGAGAGCCUGCUACAUUGUGUGAGUGCCUACGUGCAGAGAGACGUGUCAUUUUUCAAUUCCUAAUUGACACUCUGAAUGCAUGAGCACGCUGAGAAUUGAUAGUGUCCUAGCUCACCAGAAUACCAGCUCUAAAUAUAUCUAGCGCACUUUCAAUAGCAGGCUACGCCUCUGGCUAGCUAGAUCUGGAUCUCACGGACCUCAAACUGGAAGAAUUGGACGAAACACUGGACUCGUACUUCAACUAAAACACAGAUCAGGACCCAGGGCCAGAACGAGCUGUAGAAGACGGGAACCAAAAAUUGGAAGCCAGACCAGACCCCCUUUUCGAGAAAAGCACUAAACCGGGCAAAGGUCCACGAUACUAUCGAUUCCAAAUAUUUCACGUUGCUUUCUUGUCCUAGAUUCUUUCUAGCCGCCUACGGCUUGCGACAGCGCCAAUUUAGUCCUUUCGAGUGAAUGGCUCUGAUCGAGCGAACGGUCGUGUUUAUCGGUAGAACGGGUGCUGGAAAGUCGACGUGGUGUGCCAACGAGCCGUUGGUCCAGAAAGCGACCAAUCUGUGAGCGAAACAAAGUUCAUCGAAACUCGAACAGUCAACAUGGAGCAAAUAGCAAAUAUCGUGUCAAAUAGUAGAUACAGUUGGGAUCGGUGAUACAGACCUUGGAGAAGACGAAGUAGUCAAGCGUUUGGCUAGCGCUUGUGACGAAUGUCGCAAAGGUCGUGUUUUUCGUCACUGGAGGAAGGAUUACUCAAGAAGAAGCAGACGCGUGGGAUGUCAUUUGGAAGGUGCUCUUUAUUCAUCGACCACACCGCUAUUUACCGAUUGCACUCGUUUUCCAAAGUUUUAGAUCCCGACGUUGUAAAGAGCAAUUGUGAUAGGCUCAAAAGACAAAGAGGUAAAACAACUGACCAAGUCAAAGAGAUCAUUCACGUCGACAAUCCACCGCACCAAUAUCGCGGCUGCAUGGAUGGAAACGCGACAGAAAAAUCGCGCGACAUUUUGACAACUCAUUUGGCUCACAUGCAGCGAACCUGUUCACAAACCUCCAGAACUGGAUGAAGGGUCACGUAAACGAGCGCAUAUCAGAAACGCGUUGAGAGAAAGAAGGCUGAAGAGAUCAAAUUUCAAACGCUGCAAGAAACGUGAACGUUGCGCCAGACCCUUCAGCAAUUUAGAAGAAACUCUAGAGUACAGCACACCUGCAACUGCAAGUGACGCAAGAGAGACAGGAAGCCCAGCCCCUGAAUCUAGAUUGCGACUAACACGAGAACGAGAGAACGAGAGAUGAACGAAAUUCUUACAAAACGUGUAACAACACGAAGCGACUCAAACGAAGAAGACAUUGUAGGCACAAUCAUGGUAACCGUUGGACAUUAGAUUGCAAGACAAAUUCGUAACUGUUCUCUCGUGUGAUUUACUUUUUGCCAUAACUUUUAAGUUUGUCUGCAUGCUAAUGUAUUCUAAUUUUGGUGUUGUGUGAAGUAACGCUAUAUAGAGGUCUAUAGAGUUGCUGUGGGACAAUGUUUAAGUAAUGCCUUGCAUGGUGUUAUUGAUUCAUUGCGAUUCUUUCUUUGUAACAGAGAUAGUCAAGUAUAUAUAGGUUUGACUGUUCAAUAUUUAUUAACAUAG